rnacentral:rRNA from 1 species
ACGAGCGGCAGCUUACACAUGCAAGUCGAGGGGUAACAGGGAGCUUGCUCUGCUGACGACCGGCGCACGGGUGCGUAACGCGUAUACAAUCUGCCUUACACUAAGGGAUAGCCCAGAGAAAUUUGGAUUAAUACCUUAUAGUUUAUUAGAAUGGCAUCAUUUUAAUAAUAAAGAUUACGGUGUAAGAUGAGUAUGCGUCCCAUUAGUUUGUUGGUAAGGUAACGGCUUACCAAGACUACGAUGGGUAGGGGCCCUGAGAGGGGGAUCCCCCACACUGGUACUGAGACACGGACCAGACUCCUACGGGAGGCAGCAGUGAGGAAUAUUGGACAAUGGGCGAGAGCCUGAUCCAGCCAUGCCGCGUGCAGGAAGACGGUCCUAUGGAUUGUAAACUGCUUUUAUACAGGAAGAAUAAGGACUACGUGUAGUCUGGUGACGGUACUGUAAGAAUAAGGACCGGCUAACUCCGUGCCAGCAGCCGCGGUAAUACGGAGGGUCCGAGCGUUAUCCGGAAUUAUUGGGUUUAAAGGGUCCGUAGGCGGGCUAUUAAGUCAGGGGUGAAAGUUUGCAGCUCAACUGUAGAAUUGCCUUUGAUACUGAUAGUCUUGAAUUAUUGUGAAGUGGUUAGAAUAUGUAGUGUAGCGGUGAAAUGCAUAGAUAUUACAUAGAAUACCGAUUGCGAAGGCAGAUCACUAACAAUAUAUUGACGCUGAUGGACGAAAGCGUGGGUAGCGAACAGGAUUAGAUACCCUGGUAGUCCACGCCGUAAACGAUGGAUACUAGCUGUUCGGUUUUCGGACUGAGCGGCCAAGCGAAAGUGAUAAGUAUCCCACCUGGGGAGUACGUUCGCAAGAAUGAAACUCAAAGGAAUUGACGGGGGCCCGCACAAGCGGUGGAGCAUGUGGUUUAAUUCGAUGAUACGCGAGGAACCUUACCAGGGCUUAAAUGUAGAUUGACAGGUUUAGAGAUAGACUUUCCUUCGGGCAAUUUACAAGGUGCUGCAUGGUUGUCGUCAGCUCGUGCCGUGAGGUGUCAGGUUAAGUCCUAUAACGAGCGCAACUCG